rnacentral:rRNA from 1 species
CGUGUAGGCGGCUUGGUAAGUCUGAAGUGAAAUCCGUCGGCUCAACCGACGAACUGCUUCAGAUACUGCCUCGCUUGAGUACGGGAGAGGAAAGCGGAAUUCCCAGUGUAGAGGUGAAAUUCGUAGAUAUUGGGAAGAACACCGGUGGCGAAGGCGGCUUUCUGGACCGAUACUGACGCUGAGACGCGAAAGCGUGGGGAGCAAACA